rnacentral:rRNA from 1 species
GACGAACGCUGGCGGCGUGCUUAACACAUGCAAGUCGAACGCUGAAGCUUGGUGCUUGCACUGGGUGGAUGAGUGGCGAACGGGUGAGUAAUACGUGAGUAACCUGCCCUUGACUCUGGGAUAAGCCUGGGAAACUGGGUCUAAUACUGGAUACGACAUGUCACCGCAUGGUGGUGUGUGGAAAGGGUUUUACUGGUUUUGGAUGGGCUCACGGCCUAUCAGCUUGUUGGUGGGGUAAUGGCUCACCAAGGCGACGACGGGUAGCUGGCCUGAGAGGGUGACCGGCCACACUGGGACUGAGACACGGCCCAGACUCCUACGGGAGGCAGCAGUGGGGAAUAUUGCACAAUGGGCGGAAGCCUGAUGCAGCGACGCCGCGUGAGGGAUGACGGCCUUCGGGUUGUAAACCUCUUUCAGCACGGAAGAAGCGAAAGUGACGGUACGUGCAGAAGAAGCGCCGGCUAACUACGUG